GAUGAAGAACGCAGCGAAAUGCGAUAAGUAGUGUGAAUUGCAGAAUUCAGUGAAUCAUCGAAUCUUUGAACGCACAUUGCGCCCCUUGGUAUUCCAUGGGGCAUGCCUGUUCGAGCGUCAUUUGUACCUUCAAGCUCUGCUUGGUGUUGGGUGUUUGUCUCGCCUCUGCGUGUAGACUCGCCUCAAAACAAUUGGCAGCCGGCGUAUUGAUUUCGGAGCGCAGUACAUCUCGCGCUUUGCACUCCUAACGACGACGUCCAAAAGUACAUUUUUACACUCUUGACCUCGGAUCAGGUAGGGAUACCCGCUGAACUUAAGCAUAUCAAUAAGCGGAGGA
rnacentral:misc_RNA from 1 species